CGGAAAGCUCAGUUGGUAGAGCACGAGGCUUAAUCUUAAGAGUUGUGGGUUCAAGCCCCACACUGGGUGAAAGA